GAUAAACGCUGGCGGCGCACAUAAGACAUGCAAGUCGAACGAACUUAACCAUUAGUUUACUAUUGGAGCGGUUAGUGGCGGACUGGUGAGUAACACGUAAGCAACCUGCCUAUCAGAGGGGAACAACAGUUAGAAAUGACUGCUAAUACCGCAUAUGCCUUAGAAUCACAUGGUUCAAAAGGGAAAGGAGCAAUUCGCUGAUAGAUGGGCUUGCGUCUGAUUAGCUAGUUGGUGGGGUAACGGCCUACCAAGGCGACGAUCAGUAGCCGAACUGAGAGGUUGAACGGCCACAUUGGGACUGAGAUACGGCCCAGACUCCUACGGGAGGCAGCAGUCGGGAAUAUUGCGCAAUGGAGGAAACUCUGACGCAGUGACGCCGCGUGCAGGAAGAAGGUUUUCGGAUUGUAAACUGCUUUAGACAGGGAAGAACAA
rnacentral:rRNA from 1 species